UACGUAGGGGGCAAGCGUUGUCCGGAUUUAUUGGGCGUAAAGAGCUCGUAGGCGGUUUGGUAAGUCUGGUGUGAAAUCUCCACGCUCAACGUGGAGGGGCCACCCGAUACUGCCAUGACUGGAGUCCGGUAGAGGAGUGUGGAAUUCCCGGUGUAGCGGUGAAAUGCGCAGAUAUCGGGAGGAACACCCGUAGCGAAGGCGGCACUCUGGGCCGGUACUGACGCUGAGGAGCGAAAAGCGUGGGGGAGCAAACAGG
rnacentral:rRNA from 1 species